UGGUCUUAAACUCCUGGGCUCAAGCGAUCCUCCCCUUUCAGCCUCUCGAAGUGCUGGGAUUAUUGGCUUGAGCCACCACGCCCAGCCAAGAACCUUGUCUCUUGUGAUGCACCCCAGAACAAAACAUCACUGCAAAAACACACCAAGGCAUGAGUUUCAGUCCUAAUUCCCAUUUAUCCACCAUUCACUAUGUGCCAGGCACAAUGCUAAGUGCUUCUAUGGAUGAGCUUCCCUUAAUCUCAGCAGUAACAUCUGCCCUCCAAACCCACGUGCCUCCCCAGUGGAAGGCCAGCAAAGCCACACAGGAAGAGUUGGGGUAGGAAAGCCAACCAGAAAGGGAAGAAAAACAGGAAGAUGCGGGGCAGGUGAGGAGCUGGGUGAGUGCCGCCAGCCCGCAGCCCAGCAGAGCAGGGCUUGGCCAACCCUGGCGCCAGGGACUUCCCCCCUACCCCCGCCACAAGCCCCUC
rnacentral:lncRNA from 1 species